rnacentral:rRNA from 1 species
AGAGCCGGGAGCGAAAGAGCAAGGGGGGCAAGGCGAAACAGAAAACAAGGCACAGAAGGUAUGAGUUUGAUCCUGGCUCAGAACGAACGCUGGCGGCAGGCUUAACACAUGCAAGUCGAGCGCAUCCUUCGGGGUGAGCGGCAGACGGGUGAGUAACGCGUGGGGAUGUACCCAGAGGUGUGGAAUAACUGUGGGAAACUACAGCUAAUACCGCAUACGCCCUUCGGGGGAAAGAUUUAUUGCCUUUGGAUCAACCCGCGUCAGAUUAGCUAGUUGGUAGGGUAACGGCCUACCAAGGCGACGAUCUGUAGCUGGUCUGAGAGGAUGACCAGCCACACUGGGACUGAGACACGGCCCAGACUCCUACGGGAGGCAGCAGUGGGGAAUAUUGGACAAUGGGCGCAAGCCUGAUCCAGCCAUGCCGCGUGAGUGAUGACGGCCUUAGGGUUGUAAAGCUCUUUUAACAGGGACGAUAAUGACGGUACCUGUAGAAUAAGCCCCGGC